GGGCGGAUCGUGGUGGCUGCGCUUGCGAGGACCCUGAGGUAGAUUGGGUGGUUUCAACAGGAACGCAUCCACUGUCUGAGAGGUGGCAAUUGAAGCCGGAAGAACAUCUACCAAGAGCAGAGAACCCAGGAAGAAAAUUCUGCCUCUUUAAUACGUUCCAAUAUGGACGUUUUCCAUAUAGAUACCUAUCUAUAUAGAUAGAUGCUCUGGGAUCUGACGGUCCUGGACACCUGUAUGGCUGUGUGCUGUGGUCUUUGCCUAGCCUGCGGUUCACUUUUGCUCUGGCCACCACCUCCCCUCAUUUUAAACUUGAUUUUGUGAGGGGACGAACAGCGUGACAAUUAAAAGAAGAUCUGGGAAUCAAAAGCUUCCUGAGGCCUUCACCAGAAGCAGAUGCUGGUGCCGUGCUUCUACAGCCUGCAGAACUGGAAUGUGUUCCAAGACCCCCAGUGGAUGCCUGAAACUGAGAAUAGUACUGGACCCUGUAUAUACUGUGUUUUUUCUUUCCUUAUUGAGAACUUUUAUGUUUUCACUUAAAGGAAGGACUUUACAGCUUCUCUUUCGCAUAUCCAAAUUGCCAGCAUCACCGCUCUUGCACUCCAAGCCAUUAUUAAGUAAAGUAAAGAACACAAACACUGUGAUACUGCUACACUUGAUCUGAUAACCAAGAAGUCUACUAAGUGACUAACAGGUGGGUAGCAUAUACAGCAUAGAUACACUGGACAAAGGGAGGACUCACAUCCUGGGCAAGAUGGAGCAGAAUGGCAGAGUUCAUCAUGCUGCUCAAAAUGAUGUGCAAUUUAAAACUAAUGAAUUAUUUCUGGAAUUUUUCAGUUAAUAUUUUUGGACAUGAGGUGACUGCAGUUAACUAAAA
rnacentral:lncRNA from 1 species